GUUCAAUUGGUGUAGUGGUUAUCACGUCUGCCUAACACGCAGACGGCCCCAGGUUCGAUCCCUGGAUUGAACA